AGAGUUUGAUCAUGGCUCAGAUUGAACGCUGGCGGCAUGCCUUACACAUGCAAGUCGAACGCGAAAGCGGAGCAAUCCGCAAGUAGAGUGGCGAACGGGUGAGUAAUACAUCGGAACAUAUCCAGUAGCGGGGGAUAACCUGUCGAAAGAUAGGCUAAUACCGCAUACGCCCUACGGGGGAAAGCGGGGGAUCUUCGGACCUCGCGCUAAUGGAUGAGCCUAAGUCGGAUUAGCUUGUUGGUGAGGUAAAGGCUCACCAAGGCGACGAUCCGUAGCUGGUCUGAGAGGACGAUCAGCCACACUGGGACUGAGACACGGCCCAGACUCCUACGGGAGGCAGCAGUGGGGAAUAUUGGACAAUGGGGGAAACCCUGAUCCAGCAAUGCCGCGUGUGUGAAGAAGGCCUGCGGGUUGUAAAGCACUUUCAGUAGAGAAGAAAAGCCUAUGGUUAAUAACCGUGGGUCUUGACGUAACCUACAGAAGAAGCUCCGGCUAACUCCGUGCCAGCAGCCGCGGUAAUACGGAGGGAGCGAGCGUUAAUCGGAAUUACUGGGCGUAAAGCGCGCGUAGGCGGCUUUGUAAGUCGGAUGUGAAAGCCCUGGGCUCAACCUGGGAAUUGCAUUCGAAACUGCAUGGCUAGAGUAUGGUAGAGGGAAGUGGAAUUUCCGGUGUAGCGGUGAAAUGCGUAGAUAUCGGAAGGAACACCAGUGGCGAAGGC
rnacentral:rRNA from 1 species